GACGAACGCUGGCGGCGUGCUUAACACAUGCAAGUCGAGCGGUAAGGCCCUUUCGGGGGUACACGAGCGGCGAACGGGUGAGUAACACGUGGGUGACCUGCCCUCAGCUCUGGGAUAAGCCUGGGAAACCGGGUCUAAUACCGGAUAUGACUCCAUGACGCAUGUUGUGGGGUGGAAGGCCUUGUGCGGCUAGAGGAUGGGCCCCGNGGCCUAUCAGCUUGUUGGUGGGGUGANGGGCCUACCAAGGCGACGACGGGUAGCCGGCCUGAGAGGGCGACCGGCCACACUGGGACUG
rnacentral:rRNA from 1 species